UACGUAGGGGGCAAGCGUUGUCCGGAUUUAUUGGGCGUAAAGAGCGUGUAGGCGGUUAUACAGGUCCGCUGUGAAAACUGGAGGCUUAACCUCCAGACGUCGGUGGAAACCGUAUGACUAGAGUCCGGAAGAGGAGAGUGGAAUUCCGGGUGUAGCGGUGGAAUGCGUAGAGAUCCGGAAGAACACCGGUGGCGAAGGCGGCCUGCUGGGACAGUGCUGACGCUGAGGCGCGACAGCGUGGGGAGCAAACAGG
rnacentral:rRNA from 1 species